GGGAAAGAUUCUAUCGGCGUGGGAUGGGGUCGCGUCCUAUCAGCUUGUUGGUGAGGUAACGGCUCACCAAGGCUUCGACGGGUAGCCGGCCUGAGAGGGCGACCGGCCACAUUGGGACUGAGAUACGGCCCAGACUCCUACGGGAGGCAGCAGUGGGGAAUAUUGCACAAUGGGCGCAAGCCUGAUGCAGCGACGCCGCGUGAGGGAUGGAGGCCUUCGGGUUGUAAACCUCUUUUGUUUGGGAGCAAGCCUUCGGGUGAGUGUACCUUUCGAAUAAGCGCCGGCUAACUACGUGCCAGCAGCCGCGGUAAUACGUAGGGCGCAAGCGUUAUCCGGAUUUAUUGGGCGUAAAGGGCUCGUAGGCGGCUCGUCGCGUCCGGUGUGAAAGUCCAUCGCUUAACGGUGGAUCUGCGCCGGGUACGGGCGG
rnacentral:rRNA from 1 species